GAGUUUGAUCGUGGCUCAGAUUGAACGCUGGCGGCAGGCCUAACACAUGCAAGUCGAGCGGAUGAAGAGAGCUUGCUCUCUGAUUCAGCGGCGGACGGGUGAGUAAUGCCUAGGAAUCUGCCUGGUAGUGGGGGACAACGUUUCGAAAGGAACGCUAAUACCGCAUACGUCCUACGGGAGAAAGCAGGGGACCUUCGGGCCUUGCGCUAUCAGAUGAGCCUAGGUCGGAUUAGCUAGUAGGUGAGGUAAUGGCUCACCUAGGCGACGAUCCGUAACUGGUCUGAGAGGAUGAUCAGUCACACUGGAACUGAGACACGGUCCAGACUCCUACGGGAGGCAGCAGUGGGGAAUAUUGGACAAUGGGCGAAAGCCUGAUCCAGCCAUGCCGCGUGUGUGAAGAAGGUCUUCGGAUUGUAAAGCACUUUAAGUUGGGAGGAAGGACAGUAAGUUAAUACCUUGCUGUUUUGACGUUACCAACAGAAUAAG
rnacentral:rRNA from 1 species